UUUUCGCAAUGCCCGAAAGGGUGACGAAGUGACGCCGCGUGGGUGAGGAAGGCCUUCGGGUUGUAAAGCCCUGUCAGGAGUUAAGAAAUGUAAGUGCGCUAAUAUCGCAUUUAUUUGACGAAGGCUCCAAAGGAAGCCACGGCUAACUCUGUGCCAGCAGCCGCGGUAAUACAGAGGUGGCAAGCGUUGUUCGGAAUUAUUGGGCGUAAAGAGCACGUAGGUGGGUUUGUAAGUCAGAUGUGAAAGCCUUCUGUUCAACGGAAGAAUUGCAUCUGAAACUACAAGUCUUGAGUGUAGGAGGGGAGAAUGGAACUUCUGGUGGAGCGGUGAAAUGCGUAGAUAUCAGAAGGAACGCCGGCGGCGAAAGCGAUUCUCUGGCCUAUUACUGACACUCAGUGUGCAAAAGCUAGGGGAGCAAACGGGAUUAGAUACCCCGGUAGUCCUAGCCGUAAACGAUAGGCACUAAGUAGAGGGGUU
rnacentral:rRNA from 1 species